GCGCCCGUAGCUCAGCGGAUAGAGCGCUUCCCUCCGAAGGAAGAGGUCGCAGGUUCGAUUCCUGUCGGGCGCU
rnacentral:tRNA from 1 species